UAAAUAAUGAAAUAACACUAAUAAUGCAUGUGGAAGUCAGAAUGGUAGAUGCAGGCACCGAAACAAUCCAGCAUUUUUCACAGGAUUCUUCUUCGAAAUGGUGACAAGCUUAAACGCAGAAACUUUGUUAUAUAUUUUGUCCCAUAAAUCCUUGCGCCGGAAAUCUCACACAUAACGGCGGCCAGAACGCUAACAAGAAAAACCGGCUUACCAGCAGCAGACUCGCCACAACCUUCUUUGUCAUCAUCAAAAAUGCCAAGAGAAGCGAAAACCGCCCCGAAAGCAACAAUGACAACUCCAAUGAAUGGCGACAAAUCAGUUAGCUAAAUGUUGCCGAGCCAGGCGUGCGUGCGAUUUGACCGCAGUUUGUGUGAUUCCAUCAUCGAAAAACCAUGCAGAAGGCGAAGGACAAAAGAUCUAGGACAUAAUUGAAAGCGAAAGGCGGCGUGGAGAGCUCUGUCGAGCGGGAGGAGGUGAAAAAUAACUGAAAAUAAUUUUCCAACAUAAAUCCAGGCACGCCAAGUUAUUACAGUAAUUUCGUGAUAAAUGUCCGAUAAAUAGAUGUAUAAGUAGAAGUCCUGUUCGUCGGAAAGCCGGCAUACAUGUCUAAUGAAGUAGCAGCAGAAAUCAUGCUGUGCUAAAACAGCCCACAGUGCGUAUGCGCUAUGCUUGAUGUCCCAUGUCUAAUUGGAUUAAUGAGAUGUUAUUGCACUCUUUCCACCGAAAAUGCUCGCUAUCUGCCCAUUCCAUGGUCGUAAAUAUUCAAAAAUAACAAUGGAUAGUCAGCCAAAGGUCUAUACGAGUAGUCCUCACACAAGCAUAAAUCAAAUUAUUUUCUAUUUAAUUUUGGGAUUUCUUGCGCUGACAAAAACCAAAAGCCGUGAGGCUUAGUUCUCGGCUCCUGAAAUGUUGAGCCAUGCCCACCAUGGACAUCUGACAUGAUUACGAGCGGCGCGUGUUGCUACGAUUGGAUGUACGUAUAUAUUUAGCAUGAAAUAACCCAAUGCUUUUGGAUGGGCGCAAUUUAUGGGCUUAGUAUGCAAAGCUUGGUGCGUGAAAUUUUGGCUUCAAAUGUUUUUAAUAUAUUUUCGCAAACGCACAAAAAUUACUUGUCGGAAAUACAUACAAGGCAUAGCCAAAUGUCAGAAAUAUGGAGCGGAUGCCAGUCUACAGUUUUCGGGAAUCUCAGACAGCAUCUCAAGCAAUUUAUGUUACGCAAGUGACAGACGGAGCGGCGUUAAACGGGGCAUGUUUUAAUGGGUUAAGACUGGAAAAACGUGAACGCGGACUGGGGGUGAUUUUUAACGCGCAAUUGAAGUUUACUGCUGUCCGAAAAUGCGAAAAUGCGUUGUCUUGUCUGUUUUUCACGCUCGUCUGUCCUGGCUGUCCUGGCGAGAUGGAAACAACCGCAAAACAAAACUUUGCAAUUUGCUGCGAGUACAAAUUGGAAAAUCUGCCUCCAGACGGAAGGGGAAUGGUGUCCAGACAAUGCGCACUUAAUGCGCGGCCACGAGCCGAUCCGCUCUUUAAUUGUUGAUUAUACAAAUUGUUUGAAGCCUGCCCAUGGACAAUCGCGUGCAACGAGCCCAUGGUCCGUAGUCCGCGGUCCGUUGCAAGGCCAUAAAAUAUUCAAGUUGAAGAGUUUUCCACAACGGGCACGCACUAAAAACCACAAAUGGUAGAUGAGCAUCCUGCUGGGGAGGUGAAUCCUUCGGUGGAGCCGACAUGGGCAGCAUGCUUGUUGUCAUCCGAGCUGGCCACAUAAAAGUGUAAUUAAGUUCGCGUGUCGCACAUUUAAUUGUUUUUUAAUGAAUGAGGGAGCAAAAAUCAUUGUACACAGCAGCUGCAUUUCAGACGCAUCCGUCCUGGUGGCAAAAGGCGCAACCUUCAGGACUCGAUGCAUUUUCGAUGGUUUUUUUCUGCUCUGCCCUGCACUGGUAACCGUGCGAAAAAUUGUAUUUUUCCCGGCGCCAAAAAUUUAAUUAUUUCCGUUUCUCUGAUUUGUUUGAGGCUCAAAUUGAAAAAAGGGUGGAACAUUUAAAUAUUCCCCGAUCCGGAGCAAUUCUUAUGGCAAACAUUCCACUU